CAUCCUCCAAGGCUAAAUACUCCUGACUGACCGAUAGUGAACCAGUACCGUGAGGGAAAGGCGAAAAGAACCCCGGCGAGGGGAGUGAAAAAGAACCUGAAACCGUGUACGUACAAGCAGUGGGAGCCCCACCACCAAAGCAUUCUCUGGUGUUGAAGGCCCUGCAAAGCAGCAUCGCGGUGGCGGAGCGUCGUUUGCGACGCCCAACACACAAAACAAGCGGUGAAUGCUUUGGGGUGGGGUGACUGCGUACCUUUUGUAUAAUGGGUCAGCGACUUAUAUUCUGUAGCAAGGUUAACCGAAUAGGGGAGCCGGAGGGAAACCGAGUCUUAAUUGGGCGUUAAGUUGCAGGGUAUAGACCCGAAACCCGGUGAUCUAGCCAUGGGCAGGUUGAAGGUUGGGUAACACUAACUGGAGGACCGAACCGAC
rnacentral:rRNA from 4 species